UAAUAAUAAAACUUCAAAAGAUUUCUCUGGAUCACUUAUAUAUACACACACUACUAUAAAAAGUCUUAGUUUCAGUUUUAGAGAGGCAUAAUAAAAACAAACAAUGAUUCCAAACAGAAGUACACGGAGACUUUCAUUGGACAUAUUCCCAAGGGCAAGAGUCUCAGACAGAACACAUGAGAGGAGCAUAUUCAAGUAUAUGGAUUUAAGGUUUUUAACUCAAACUGCUACAUCCAAUGAUGUCAUCAGAGAGGUCAAAUGCGAGUGCUGUGGCAUGUCUGAAAACUGCACCAUAGCCUACAUCGAAUGCACCAGGGCUUGGUUUUAUGGCAAAUGGGUUUGUGGCCUGUGCUCAGAAGCAAUAAAUGAAGAGUCCUAUAAGAUUG
rnacentral:lncRNA from 1 species